AACCGCGAACUCCGUUCGUAAAUCAAAUGACUCUAUUAUGGGUACGUAUCCCACGACCCUCCCGCCUUCCUACGGGCGUAUAUCGUUUGCGCGACGCCGUUGUUGUUUUUGGCCUUUUUUUCGCGAGGCAUUCGCGCACCGUGUUCGGGUCGUACACCGCGCCGACAUAUUUUUCAACGAUCGUAAAUUCGUAACACACAACCGGCACCUGAACGUCAUAAACUCCCGAGUACGUCAGAAAAACACCGGGGAAAAAAAAAGGGUAAAUCAAAUUGUUUUAGUUUCAUAAAAACAACGAGGCGUUACAAUACGGCCCGUAUCGGUUUUUAAAU